UCGUGCAGCCGGGGAGAUAGCGGUGCCCUGUACCUGCAAUCCGCUAAAGCAGGGGUGUUGCCAAACGGAGGGGCUUCUUUUUGUGAAGCUGCCCUUUAUAAGUGGCGUUGACGUUUGGGUCUUACGCAACAGGAAUCUGUGAACCGUGUCAGGACAGGAAUGUAGCAGCACUAAGCAGAACCUUCUGUGUGCCGUGAGGGUGCCUGGGCCGAGUUAACUGUAAAGGUAACGUUCAUGAAAAAGUUUCGAUGGGCGGCGCACGA
rfam:Lachnospiraceae bacterium CAG:364 genomic scaffold, scf346